CAACAUUUGAAAGAAGCAUAUAAACAGGAGGGGCAAUGAUUGUUUAAAUGGGUGGAUAGCGACAAGACCAGAAGGGUAGGAAAAGCCAAAGCUAUUUUUCUCCUUCAUAUUUUCCUCUCUCUCUCCUUCAUAUUUUUUUCUGUUAGGUACUGCACUUGAGAGUCUGGAACUUCAGCCACCCAGUGAUUUUCAUAGUGGAGGUUUUGCAAGGCUCUGAACACAGCUUGUGUUGGAAGAGCCUUCAUGCCUUUCAGUCCUUGGACUGAGCAACGGUUCUUUGCAUUUCUCAGGAAAGCAGACAGGACCACCUCCUUCAAAACAACCUCAGCAUUCUCUGGUCUUGCUUAUUUCCCAGGUUGCUGUAACGUCUUGACAAGCACAGCCCCAUGGUGUUAUGCACAGAAAAAAAACCACUGCUGGGGACAGCUCCUCCUACUCAGUAUGUCCCCAUCUGGGGCCCCACUCACACAUCUCUGAGUCUCAACAGCAGCUGAGCGGGAGCAGCAAACAUGCUGCUGCUGGCAGCUCUAACGGUCACAACUGCAUGGUCAUAUGGAUUUGCACAGGAAACUCCCAUACAGAGCCCUGUAUCCAUCACCAUGUCACGAGGAAAUACAGAUCUGAAGUGUCAUUUUAAAGACUUCUCUGGAAAUUUUGAUAACACCGUCAUACACUGGUAUCAACAGAAGGAGAAUAAAGCUCCAGUGAGGAUGAUCUACUUCACAUCAGGGAGAACAGAAGUAGAUGAGAGCUUCCAAAGGCACAGAUACAGGAUUCAAACUAUUCCUACACAGAGACUUUGCACUCUUACAAUAAGAAAUGUAAUUCCGGAUGAUGCUGCUACUUACUACUGUGCCUACUGGGACCCUCACUAUGGCAGAUGCCAAACAAUCACCUCUGCAAAUACUUUCUCGGCAGCUCUCCUGUAAAUGAUAUGAAAGGUAACAAAUCCGCUCCCAUGGUUUGGAUGAGCUGCUCAGCCAGAAGCAGUUCUGUCUAAAUCUCUCUGAGGAUUUGGAGAUCUGCUUCUCUGAAAUGAAGGAUUCUGAAGCUAUCUGCAAAGACCAUGUUGAUCAUUUCUUCAGUGACAAGUCUAUUUGGUGAUAAUCUUAACCUGGAAAUCUGUAUGGUUGGAAAGAAUCUGCCCAGUACACGUGUCUUCUGCAACAGAUAGCACAAAGUUUGAUUUGUAAUUAUGCCGACCAGGAGACUUGCUGUGGUAGGAAUCUUCAGGACAAAACACACACUGUAGCUGUCACUUAGACAUUGGUUGUGUGAGAUCCCAUCACUAUCAUGCGCCAUUCGUAUUCAUCUAGAAUCAGGUACCCGGCAGAUUUCUGCUCUGAAGUCAAAAGAAUAGCAAUGGACUGAUACACAUUUCAUCGGUCCUGGUAGAUUUUGG
ensembl:lncRNA